GACGGAGGAUGCAAGUGUUAUCCGGAAUCACUGGGCGUAAAGCGUCUGUAGGUGGUCAAAUAAGUCAACUGUUAAAUCUUGAGGCUCAACCUCAAAAUCGCAGUCGAAACUAUUAGACUAGAGUAUAGUAGGGGUAAAGGGAAUUUCCAGUGGAGCGGUGAAAUGCGUAGAGAUUGGAAAGAACACCGAUGGCGAAGGCAACCCCCUGGGACGAUACUGACGCUGAGGCACGAAAGCGUGGGGAGCAAACAGG
rnacentral:rRNA from 1 species